AACGCGAAGAACCUUACCAGCCCUUGACAUGGGACGUUUGACCAGGAGAGAUCCUGGUCUUCAGUUCGGCUGGCGUCCACACAGGUGCUGCAUGGCUGUCGUCAGCUCGUGUCGUGAGAUGUUGGGUUAAGUCCCGCAACGAGCGCAACCCUCAUCUUCAGUUGCCAUCAGGUUAAGCUGGGCACUCUGAAGGAACUGCCGGUGACAAGCCGGAGGAAGGCGGGGAUGACGUCAAGUCCUCAUGGCCCUUAUGGGCUGGGCUACACACGUGCUACAAUGGCGGUGACAGAGGGAUGCGAAGGGGCGACCCUUGGCGAAUCUCAAAAAGCCGUCUCAGUUCGGAUUGUUCUCUGCAACUCGAGAGCAUGAAGCUGGAAUCGCUAGUAAUCGCGGAUCAGCACGCCGCGGUGAAUACGUUCCCGGGCCUUGUACACACCGCGUGUCU
rnacentral:rRNA from 1 species